UAACACUGGCAGCUCAAGUGGUGGCCGUUUUUAUUGGGCCUAAAGCGUUCGUAGCCGGUUUGAUAAGUCUCUGGUGAAAUCCUACAGCUUAACUGUGGGAAUUGCUGGAGAUACUAUCAGACUUGAGGUCGGGAGAGGUUAGAGGAACUCCCAGGGUAGGGGUGAAAUCCUAUAAUCCUGGGAGGACCACCUGUGGCGAAGGCGUCUAACUGGAACGAACCUGACGGUGAGUAACGAAAGCCAGGGGCGCGAACCGG
rnacentral:rRNA from 1 species